rnacentral:rRNA from 1 species
UACGAAGGGUGCAAGCGUUACUCGGAAUUACUGGGCGUAAAGCGUGCGUAGGUGGUGAGUUAAGUCUGUCGUGAAAGCCCCGGGCUCAACCUGGGAAUGGCGAUGGAUACUGGCUCGCUAGAGUGCGGUAGAGGGUGGUGGAAUUCCCGGUGUAGCAGUGAAAUGCGUAGAGAUCGGGAGGAACAUCAGUUGCGAAGGCGGCCACCUGGACCAGCACUGACACAGAGGCACGAAAGCGUGGGGAGCAAACAGG